UGGAGCUCAAAAGAGUAUCCUGCAAAACCCCCUUCUGGAUGGUCAGGUUUUGGUCGCCCUAAUCGAUGCUUGGGUUGGAACAGGACGGCCAUUAUUCAAGGCCUUCAAUAGAGCUUCUUCUUUGGUAAAAUUAUUUACACAAAUGCUGAUUCAACACAGUGCAGUUCAAGGUGGACAGGGCAUGGUGACGAAUUGGAAUGCUUAUGGACUAUGCUCACGGAGGAUUGCAAUUGCUGCAGGUUGCUUAUUUGGCAUUCAGUGCAAAUAUCUCCUUCUGUCGACAUGCUGCCUGAGACUCUAGUUCCUCAAUUUGCAGUUUUGCAGCGAACAGCUCUUCAACCUUUCAUUCCAUCAUUCAAUAUUCCUUCAAACUGAAUAUUCAAUACACCCAAUCCAAUAGGUACUAAUGGACGCAGGACUAAUCCAUGGCCAUUUCCUUAAAGUGAGGCUUGUAAUGCAAUUGUGCAUCCCCUGAACACCGGAAAUGCAGAAAAGUAUGAUGAGCACCCACAUAAA